UUAUAGUUACUCGUGGAGGAAGUGAUUGCUGAAUUUGAAACAGCUUAAGAAAACGCAGAACUCGGGAGGAUGGGGUGAAAGGAGCUGGUUACCAGAAGACAACUCGCUUAGGGAAUGCAAUAAUAAAAGCAAUUAAUUUGG